rnacentral:rRNA from 1 species
GACGAACGCUGGCGGCGUGCUUAACACAUGCAAGUCAAACGAUGAAGCCUAGCUUGCUAGGUGGAUUAGUGGCGAACGGGUGAGUAAUACGUGAGUGACCUACCUUUGACUCUGGGAUAAGCCUGGGAAACUGGGUCUAAUACCGGAUACGACCAAUCUCCGCAUGGGGUGUUGGUGGAAAGCGUUAUGGAGUGGUUUUAGAUGGGCUCACGGCCUAUCAGCUUGUUGGUGAGGUAAUGGCUUACCAAGGCGACGACGGGUAGCCGGCCUGAGAGGGUGACCGGCCACACUGGGACUGAGACACGGCCCAGACUCCUACGGGAGGCAGCAGUGGGGAAUAUUGCACAAUGGGCGCAAGCCUGAUGCAGCGACGCCGCGUGAGGGAUGACGGCCUUCGGGUUGUAAACCUCUGUUAGCAUCGAAGAAGCGAAAGUGACGGUAGGUGCAGAGAAAGCGCCGGCUAACUACGUG